rnacentral:rRNA from 1 species
GACGAACGCUGGCGGCGUGCUUAACACAUGCAAGUCGAACGGAAAGGCCCUGCUUUUGUGGGGUGCUCGAGUGGCGAACGGGUGAGUAACACGUGAGUAACCUGCCCUUGACUUUGGGAUAACUUCAGGAAACUGGGGCUAAUACCGGAUAGGAGCUCCUGCUGCAUGGUGGGGGUUGGAAAGUUUCGGCGGGUGGGGAUGGACUCGCGGCUUAUCAGCUUGUUGGUGGGGUAGUGGCCUACCAAGGCUUUGACGGGUAGCCGGCCUGCGAGGGUGACCGGCCACAUUGCGACUGAGAUACGGCCCAGACUCCUACGGUGGGCAGCAGUGGGGAAUAUUGCACAAUGGGCGGAAGCCUGAUGCAGCAACGCCGCGUGCGGGAUGACGGCCUUCGGGUUGUAAACCGCUGUCGCCUGUGACGAAGCGUUAGUGACGGUAAUGGGUAAAGAAGCACCGGCUAACUACGUG